rnacentral:rRNA from 1 species
CCUACGGGUGGCAGCAGUGAGGAAUAUUGGGCAAUGGGCGGGAGCCUGAACCAACCAAGCCGCGUGAGGGAAGAAGGUACAGCGUGUCGUACACCUCUUUUGUCAGGGAACAAAGGCGGGGACUAGUCCCCGGAUGAGGGUAACUGAAGAAAAAGCAUCGGCUAACUCCGUGCCAGCAGGCGGUGUAAUACGGAGGAUGCGAGCGUUAUCCGGUUUUAUUGGGGUUAAAGGGUGCGCAGGCGGCCUGUUAAGUCAGCGGUAAAAGCUCGGGGCUCAACCCCGGCGAGACGUUGAAACUGGCGGUCUGGAGUGGGCGAGAAGUACGCGGAAUGCGCGGUGUAGCGGUGAAAUGCUUAGAU